UACAGAGGGGGCAAGCGUUGUUCGGAAUUACUGGGCGUAAAGGGCGCGUAGGCGGCCGGUUAAGUCGAACGUGAAAUCCCUGGGCUCAACCCAGGAACUGCGUCCGAUACUGGCAGGCUUGAAUUCGGGAGAGGGAUGCGGAAUUCCAGGUGUAGCGGUGAAAUGCGUAGAUAUCUGGAGGAACACCGGUGGCGAAGGCGGCAUCCUGGACCGAUAUUGACGCUGAGGCGCGAAAGCCAGGGGAGCAAACGGG
rnacentral:rRNA from 1 species